AGAAGCGUGCCCGAAAAUCAAGGGCUAUUUUGAUAAAAUAGACAUGGAGACCAUAAUCUCUCGCUUCUCA
rnacentral:tRNA from 1 species